rnacentral:rRNA from 1 species
CUGGCAGUAAACGGUGCACGCUUGGUGUGGGAAGGUUCGACCCUUUCUGUGCCGGAGCUAACGCGUUAAGCGUGCCGCCUGGGGAGUACGGUCGCAAGAUUAAAACUCAAAGAAAUUGAC